rnacentral:lncRNA from 1 species
CUGCCUGGCCACACAGCGCACACACUGCAGAGGAGAGAGCAAAUGCAAGCAGCGGUGAGCAGCUGGCGGGACCAGACGUCCCUGAGGGCUGUCCCCAGGCUCCUGCUCUGUGCCUGCCGUGCUGGCUGGAGGCGGUGGAGGGGAAGGGGCCACGGCAGGCCCCAGGCAGCCACAGCCCAAGCUGGGCCCCCUUGCCGAGGAGCAGAGGGGCCCAGCCCCAUGCCUGCCUGGGAGCUCCUGCCUGCCCCUUCCUCCCCUCUCAGUUCCAGCCGCAGGCAGAGGCCCAGCGCCCCUUGCCCAGCAUCGGGAGCUGUGCACAGGGAUGCUGUGCUCUCACCUGGCUCCUCCGAGCUGGAGGCCUUCCGCUUCCUAUCGGACAUGAUGUGCGUUAACAGCGAGCACUGCGAGAGUCCCUGCUCUCUCUGCGCCUCGCCAGGCCGCACUGACGCUCAGGCUGAGCCCAGCAGCCUUUGCUGUGCUCCAGGCUUCACGCGUCACAAUGGGCGCACUCUGACACGCACUGUGACAUCACGGUCACCACGGCCUCGGUGGGGGUGUGGGUGGGGGCCCUCAAGCAAGAGGGUGGCAGCCCUUGUAGGCAGCACUGAGUGAG